AAGUCGUAACAAGGUUUCCGUAGGUGAACCUGCGCAACGUUAAACCCCCUGUGAACCUUCAUUGUAUGAGUUACAGAUCAGGGGGGCCGUAGCCCAGUGACCUGGUCGCCGGCCGUGUCGGCCUCCAGCGAUUGUUACUGCGCCAUCCGUACAUAGCUAGUGACACCUUCAGACACUAACAAGCAGAGGAAUAAUUGCCUCGCACUACCGUACACCCUUCCCAGAGGUCUCUGAAUCAAAACUGUUCGGCGAUGAUUUACCAGAGAUUGCCGGUUUAUGACGUGGAUGCAUGAAAACGGGCCUGCGCUGAGGUGCGGCCACCCCUAAUGCUUGAACAACUGUUAACAAUGGAUAUCUUGGUUCUC
rnacentral:misc_RNA from 1 species